rnacentral:rRNA from 1 species
CCGUGCACAAGUCUCCUGGGAUGGAGCGUCGUAGAGGGUGAGAAUCCCGUCUUUGGCACGGAUGUACCAGGGCUUUUGUGAUGCGCUCUCGAAGAGUCGAGUUGUUUGGGAAUGCAGCUCAAAAUGGGUGGUGAACUCCAUCUAAAGCUAAAUACUGGCGAGAGACCGAUAGCGAACAAGUACCGUGAGGGAAAGAUGAAAAGCACUUUGGAAAGAGAGUGAAACAGUACGUGAAAUUGUUGAAAGGGAAACGCUUGAAGUCAGUCGCGUCGACCGAGACUCAGCCUCGCCUCGGCUUGGUGUACUUCUCGGCUGACGGGUCAGCAUCAAUUUUGCCCCUUGGAUAAUGGCGAGGGAAAUGUGACACCUUCACGGUGUGUUAUAGUCUCUCGUCGCAUGCAAGGGUUGGGAUUGAGGAACUCAGCACGCGCCUUUCGGCGUCGGGGCUUUGCCCACGAUACGUGCUUAGGAUGUUGGCGUAAUGGCUUUAAACGACC